rnacentral:rRNA from 1 species
AUUGAACGCUGGCGGUAUGCUUAACACAUGCAAGUCGAACGGCAGCAUGGUCUAGCUUGCUAGACUGAUGGCGAGUGGCGGACGGGUGAGUAACGCGUAGGAAUAUGCCUUGAAGAGUGGGACAACUCGGGGAAACUCAAGCUAAUACCGCAUGUACUCGAGAGAGUAAAGCUGGGGACCUUUAGGCCUGGCGCUUUAAGAUUAGCCUGCGUCCGAUUAGCUAGUUGGUAGGGUAAAGGCCUACCAAGGCGACGAUCGGUAGCUGGUCUGAGAGGAUAAUCAGCCACACUGGAACUGAGAGACGGUCCAGACUCCUACGGGAGGCAGCAGUGGGGAAUAUUGGACAAUGGGGGGAACCCUGAUCCAGCAAUGCCGCGUGUGUGAAGAAGGCCUGAGGGUUGUAAAGCACUUUCAGUGGGGAGGAGGUUUGGAAGGUUAAGAGCUAUUCAAAUGGACGUUACCCACAGAAGAAGCACCGGCUAACUCCGUGCCAGCCGCCGCAGUAA